rnacentral:rRNA from 3 species
AGAGUUUGAUCCUGGCUCAGGACGAACGCUGGCGGCGUGCCUAACACAUGCAAGUCGAACGGAGAAUUUUAUUUCGGUAGAAUUCUUAGUGGCGAACGGGUGAGUAACGCGUAGGCAACCUGCCCUUUAGACGGGGACAACAUUCCGAAAGGAGUGCUAAUACCGGAUGUGAUCAUCGUGCCGCAUGGCAGGAUGAAGAAAGAUGGCCUCUACAAGUAAGCUAUCGCUAAAGGAUGGGCCUGCGUCUGAUUAGCUAGUUGGUAGUGUAACGGACUACCAAGGCGAUGAUCAGUAGCCGGUCUGAGAGGAUGAACGGCCACAUUGGGACUGAGACACGGCCCAAACUCCUACGGGAGGCAGCAGUGGGGAAUCUUCCGCAAUGGACGAAAGUCUGACGGAGCAACGCCGCGUGAGUGAUGAAGGAUUUCGGUCUGUAAAGCUCUGUUGUUUAUGACGAACGUGCAGUGUGUGAACAAUGCAUUGCAAUGACGGUAGUAAACGAGGAAGCCACGGCUAACUACGUGCCAGCAGCCGCGGUAAUACGUAGGUGGCGAGCGUUGUCCGGAAUUAUUGGGCGUAAAGAGCAUGUAGGCGGCUUAAUAAGUCGAGCGUGAAAAUGCGGGGCUCAACCCCGUAUGGCGCUGGAAACUGUUAGGCUUGAGUGCAGGAGAGGAAAGGGGAAUUCCCAGUGUAGCGGUGAAAUGCGUAGAUAUUGGGAGGAACACCAGUGGCGAAGGCGCCUUUCUGGACUGUGUCUGACGCUGAGAUGCGAAAGCCAGGGUAGCGAACGGGAUUAGAUACCCCGGUAGUCCUGGCCGUAAACGAUGGGUACUAGGU